rnacentral:rRNA from 1 species
UACAGAGGGGGCAAGCGUUGUCCGGAGUUACUGGGCGUAAAGGGCCCGCAGGUGGCACGGCAAGUGCCGGGUGAAAGCCCCGUGCUUAACACGGGGAGGCCCCGGCAGACGGUCGCGCUCGAGGGUGGCAGAGGGGGGUGGAAUUGCUGGUGUAGUGGUGAAAUGCGUAGAUAUCUGGAGGAAUACCGGUGGCGAAGGCGGCAUCCUGGACCGGCAUUGACGCUGAUGAGCGAAAGCUAGGGGAGCAAACGGG